ensembl:lincRNA
CUUAUCUCCAUUUCAACGGGACGAUUCUGGACCGCAGUGAUCACAGCCCCCCUUUCCCUCACUGAGACUUACCAGAAGGGACUCUGCACAGGGAAAGGCUCAUUGGUGGGGCUGCCUGGGAGAACUCCCAAGACACACAGGUGGAGCCUUUCCCGAAGGAGGAGCCCAGGGACGCAAGCGAGAGCCUCUGCAAGUCACCCCAGCUGCCGCGUUUCCACCCAGGAGGAAGACGCACGUGGGGCGGCACGAGAGAUAGACGGAGGAUUGAAAGAAGCAGCCAGUGAGCCAGAAGAGCUUUAAUCAGCUGGUCAGUUUCUAAGGCUUUCAUCCAAGGAACCCUCAUUGAUGUGAAACAACAAAGUGAGACUUCCAUCCUCGAAUGUGCAGCCAGGAAGUGGCAGAAAGGAGCUUUGCAUAAAUUUCUUCUCAUUUCAAAUCCUAUGCUCUUUCUCCCACACCUCAGCCAUUUGCCUUUAAAAUCAAUUGCAUCCUGAAGUGAAGAGCUUUGCAAGAACAGUGGUAUCAGAAACAACCAUACUCCCCCAGAGCAAUCACAGCACCUCCCAUAACCCCUGGGACUUUUGCUUGGACUCGGGCAAGUGAGUAGACAGCUCGGAUGGGGCGAGCACCUGCUGGUUCAUCCACCAAAUAUGAACAUGGCCCAAGAGUGAGACCCCAAGACCCAAAAUUGCACCAAUGACUGUAGCUAUACAAGAAAAUGCCACUGGACAAAUUUUGCAGAGGUUUCUUUAUUGUUGCUGUUCUCAGCAAACCUGAGAAGUCAUUUCAGUUUGUCUCAGCUUUUGUAGAAGAACAAAAAGUUCAACAUUAAACCAUGUGUGUAAGUAGCGUGGAGUGUUUACUCUGCCUGAUCUAUAGUUUAGGACCAACAAUUUCCUGUAGUGGGUAAAUUUAUCCAAUGAUGGUUUAAAUGGUGUCUAUAAUCUAAGCUUAAUAUAGUCAUCUAAUACAUUGACUAUAGGCACAGCCAAGUUG